rnacentral:rRNA from 1 species
CCUACGGGCGGCAGCAGUGAGGAAUAUUGGUCAAUGGACGAGAGUCUGAACCAGCCAAGUAGCGUGAAGGAUGACUGCCCUAUGGGUUGUAAACUUCUUUUAUAAAGGAAUAAAACGAGGCACGUGUGCCUUUUUGCAUGUACUUUAUGAAUAAGGAUCGGCUAACUCCGUGCCAGCAGCCGCGGUAAUACGGAGGAUUCGAGCGUUAUCCGGAUUUAUUGGGUUUAAAGGGAGCGUAGAUGGGUUGUUAAGUCAGUUGUGAAAGUUUGCGGCUCAACCGUAAAAUUGCAAUUGAUACUGGCAGUCGUGAGUACAGUUGAGGUAGGCGGAAUUCGUGGUGUAGCGGUGAAAUGCUUAGAUAUCACGAAGAACUCCGAUUGCGAAGGCAGCUUACUAAACUGCCACUGACAUUGAUGCUCGAAAGUGUGGGUAUCAAACAGGAUUAGAUACCCUGGUAGUC